rfam:Spironucleus salmonicida unplaced genomic scaffold scf7180000020686, whole genome shotgun sequence.
GCUCCUAUGGUGUAGCGGUUAGCACAGUAGACUCUAGAUCUUUUGACCCCAGUUCGAAUCUGGGUAGGAGCU